GACGGAGGGGGCAAGCGUUGUCCGGAAUCACUGGGCGUAAAGCGCACGUAGGCGGGACGGUGCGUCGGUGCUGAAAGCGCCAGGCUUAACCUGGCGAGGCGUGCCGAUACGACCGACCUCGAGGCAGACAGAGGGUGGCGGAAUUCCGGGUGUAGUGGUGAAAUGCGUAGAGAUCCGGAGGAACGCCGGUGGCGCAAGCGGCCACCUGGGUCUGACCUGACGCUGAGGUGCGAAAGCGUGGGGAGCAAACCGGAUUAGAAACCCCCGUAGUCC
rnacentral:rRNA from 1 species